CACGUGUAGCAGUGAAANGCGUAGAGAUGUGGAGGAAUACCGAUGGCGAAGGCAGCCUCCUGGGAUAACACUGACGUUCAUGCCCGAAAGCGUGGGUAGCAAACAGGAUUAGAUACCCUGGUAGUCCACGCCCUAAACGAUGUCGAUUAGCUGUUGGGCAGCAUGACUGCUUAGUAGCGAAGCUAACGCGUGAAAUCGACCGCCUGGGGAGUACGGUCGCAAGAUUAAAACUCAAAGGAAUUGACGGGGACCCGCACAAGCGGUGGAUGAUGUGGAUUAAUUCGAUGCAACGCGAAGAACCUUACCUGGUCUUGACAUGUACGGAACCCUCCAGAGACGGAGGGGUGCCUUCGGGAGCCGUAACACAGGUGCUGCAUGGCUGUCGACAGCUCGUGUCGUGAGAUGUUGGGUUAAGUCCCGCAACGAGCGCAACCCUUGUCAUUAGUUGCCAUCAUUAAGUUGGGCACUCUAAUGAGACUGCCGGUGACAAGCCGGAGGAAGGUGGGGAUGACGUCAAGUCCUCAUGGCCCUUAUGACCAGGGCUUCACACGUCAUACAAUGGUCGGUACAGAGGGUAGCCAAGCCGCGAGGUGGAGCCAAUCUCACAGAACCGAUCGUAGUCCGGAUUGCACUCUGCAACUCGAGUGCAUGAAGUCGGAAUCGCUUGUAAUCGCAGGUCAGCAUACUGCGGUGAAUACGUUCCCGGGUCUUGUACACACCGCCCGUCACACCAUGGGAGUGGGGGAUACCAGAAGUAGGUAGGGUAACCGCAAGGAGCCCGCUU
rnacentral:rRNA from 1 species